rnacentral:rRNA from 1 species
UAUCUCUGUAGAGUCUGCAUAUCAAUAAGCGGAGGAAAAGAAACUAACUAGGAUUCCCUCAGUAACGGCGAGUGAAGCGGGAAGAGCUCAAAUUUGAAAUCUUCAAGGUUUUACCUUGACGAAUUGUAGUUUAAAGAAGUGUUUUCUGUUGGAGUUUUGGUAAAAGUUCUUUGGAAUAGGACAUCAUAGAGGGUGAGAAUCCCGUAUUUGACCAUUAUUUCCAGCUUUGUGAUACACUUUCAAAGAGUCGGAUUGUUUGGGAAUGCAGUCCAAAAUGGGUGGUAAAUUUCAUCUAAAGCUAAAUACUGGCGAGAGACCGAUAGCGAACAAGUACCGUGAGGGAAAGAUGAAAAGAACUUUGAAAAGAGAGUUAAACAGUACGUGAAAUUGUCAAAAGGGAAGCGUUUGACACCAGUGUUGUUUUUCCGAAAAUCAAUUACGAAUGUUUUGUUUUUGAGGAGUUAUGACUUCAUCGGCUUGCUCCUUUCUUUACGAAACUUUCUUAAUGCACUUUUCGGUUAACAAGUCAACAUCAAUUUCUUUUGUUGUAAAAGGGUAUGAGGAAGGUGGCUUUCUUUUCGGAGAAAGUGUUUAUAGCCUUGUGCCUCUGCAAUCGGAGAGAUUGAGGUCUGCAGCGUAGAUCCUUCGGGGUUAGAUACAGUUUGUGCUAAGUUAUAGCCUUUCAUAGACAACUUGUUGACUAUGAUCAGUCAUGUAGCUUACUCGCUGAUGCUAUUUUACCUACGCUUAGGAUGUUGAGUCAUCACACAUCUCU